rnacentral:rRNA from 1 species
UUUAAGCAUAUAAGUAAGCGGAGGAUAAGAAACUAAAUAGGAUUCCCUUAGUAAUGGCGAAUGAACAGGGAUCAGCUCAGCAUGGAAAUUGGGGCCCUCGGCCUUGAAUUGUAGUCUCGAGAUGUAUCGCCAACGGAGGCGCAGAUGUAAGCCUCUUGGAAAGGAGCAUCAACGAGGGUGAGAGUCCCGUUUGUCAUCUGCAGUCCCCCGUGCACGGCAUACCUUCUAAGAGUCGCGUUCCUCGGAAUUGGAGCGUAAAUUGGGUGGUAAAUUUCAUCUCAAGCUAAAUAUUGGUUCGAGACCGAUAGCAAACAAGUACCAUGAGGGAAAGAUGAAAAGGACUUUGAAAAGAGAGUUAAAAGUGCCUGAAAUUGCUGAAAGGGAAGCGAAUGGAACCAGUGUUGCUUGGCAGGAUUGUCGGGUGCAUGACGCUCCUGAUCGUCUCCUGCCUUGUGUGUCAACGCCAGUUCGCGAUCGAGGAAAACUCCAGGGUCAUGGUAGCUUGUCUUCGGGUGAGUGAAUAGCCUUGGCAGAACUCAUUUGCGGACUGUUUCUUUCGUGUCUGGUUGCAGUGUCUUUGGCACCUUGGAGAUCUCGGCUUGGCUUGCCACAGUCGGGUGACCCAGGUGACUUGGGCAUUUCCCUGACGCAAAGACGAUGACUAAUGGUUCUAUUCGACCGUCUUGAAACAC